GAAUAAGAAGCGAACUAUUGCUAUCGGUUUCGACCCGACCUUUGAUUUUUAUUAAUCCUUAUUCU
rnacentral:tRNA from 1 species